GAUGAACGCUGGCGGCGUGCCUAAUACAUGCAAGUCGAGCGAACGGACGAGAAGCUUGCUUCUCUGAUGUUCGCGGCGGACGGGUGAGUAACACGUGGAUAACCUACUUAUAAGACUGGGAUAACUUCGGGAAACCGUAGCUGAUACCAGCUAAUAUUUUGAACCGCAUGAUUCAACAGUGAAUGACGGUCUUGCUGUCACUUAUAGAUGGAUCCGCGCUGCCUUAGCUAGUUGGUAAGGUAACGGCUUACCAAGGCAACGAUGCAUAGCCGACCUGAGAGGGUGAUCGGCCACACUGGAACUGAGACACGGUCCAGACUCCUACGGGAGGCAGCAGUAGGGAAUCUUCCGCAAUGGGCGAAAGCCUGACGGAGCAACGCCGCGUGAGUGAUGAAGGUCUUCGGAUCGUAAAACUCUGUUAUUAGGGAAGAACAUAUGUGUAAGUAACUGUGCACAUCUUGACGGUACCUAAUCAGAAAGCCACGGCUAACUACGUG
rnacentral:rRNA from 1 species